rnacentral:rRNA from 1 species
UACAGAGGUCCCGAGCGUUGUUCGGAUUCAUUGGCGUAAAGGGUGCGUAGGCGGCGGGGUAAGUUUGAUGUGAAAUCCCGGGGCUCAACCCUGGAAUUGCAUUGAAUACUACCUUGCUAGAGUACCGGAGAGGAAACUGGAAUUUACGGUGUAGCAGUGAAAUGCGUAGAGAUCGUAAGGAAGACCAGUGGCGAAGGCGAGUUUCUGGACGGUAACUGACGCUGAGGCACGAAGGCCAGGGGAGCAAACGGG